GAUGAAGAACGUAGCGAAAUGCGAUAAGUAAUGUGAAUUGCAGAAUUCAGUGAAUCAUCGAAUCUUUGAACGCACAUUGCGCCAGGUAGUAUUCUGCCGGGCAUGCCUGUUCGAGCGUCAUUUCAACCAUCAAGCCCCAGCGCUUGUGUUGGGGGCCUGCGGCUGCCGCAGCCCCCUAAAAGCAGUGGCGGGCUCGCUAUCACACCGAGUGCAGUAGUUCAUCUUCUCUCCGGUCUUGUGAGGCGGGUUCCGGCCGUGAAACACCCCACUACAUUCAAGGUUGACCUCGGAUCAGGUAGGAAUACCCGCUGAACUUAAGCAUAUCAAUAAGCGGAGGA
rnacentral:misc_RNA from 1 species